CACGUAGGGUGCGAGCGUUGUCCGGAAUUAUUGGGCGUAAAGAGCUCGUAGGCGGUGUGUCGCGUCGGCCGUGAAAACCUGUGGCUUAACCAUGGGCUUGCGGUCGAUACGGGCAUCACUGGAGUUCGGCAGGGGAGACUGGAAUUCCUGGUGUAGCGGUGAAAUGCGCAGAUAUCAGGAAGAACACCCGUGGCGAAGGCGGCUCUCUGGGACGGUACUGACGCUGAGACGCGAAAGCGUGGGGAGCGAACAGG
rnacentral:rRNA from 1 species